rnacentral:rRNA from 1 species
CACGUAGGGGGCGAGCGUUGUCCGGAUUUAUUGGGCGUAAAGAGCUCGUAGGCGGCUCAGUAAGUCAGGUGUGAAAACUCCAGGCUCAACCUGGAGACGCCACCUGAUACUGCUGUGGCUAGAGUCCGGUAGGGGAGCAUGGAAUUCCUGGUGUAGCGGUGAAAUGCGCAGAUAUCAGGAGGAACACCAGUGGCGAAGGCGGUGCUCUGGGCCGGAACUGACGCUGAGGAGCGAAAGCGUGGGGAGCAAGCAGG